UCGAUGAUGAGCAAUAAAAAGCUGACUUAAUAUGAUGAACCUUUCGGGGUAUCUGAG
rnacentral:snoRNA from 20 species